rnacentral:rRNA from 1 species
AAUUAAAUAAAAGUUAAGGUAGUAAAAUAUUUUAAAACCUAAAUAUAAUGGCGGUCUCAUUAACUUAAAGAAACUCGCUUUAUAAUCGACAACACCCGAUAAAUUUCACUCAUUUUAAUAGUUUAUAUACCGCCGUUUCACGAAUACAACAUAAUUUAAUAUUCUUAAUCUCACAAACAAAACAAAAAUCAGGUCAAGGUGUAACCAUAUAAAUAAGAAAAAGUAAGUUACAUUAAAAAUAAUUUUAAGGCAAAAAAAUUAACUAUUAAUUAAAAAAAGAAUUUAUAAGUACAAUCAAAUUAAAAAUUAAAAUAGAAUAUAAAAAUUAAGACGU